rnacentral:rRNA from 1 species
GACGAACGCUGGCGGCGUGCCUAAUACAUGCAAGUAGAACGCUGAAGGAGGAGCUUGCUUCUCUGGAUGAGUUGCGAACGGGUGAGUAACGCGUAGGUAACCUGCCUGGUAGCGGGGGAUAACUAUUGGAAACGAUAGCUAAUACCGCAUAAUAGUAGAUGUUGCAUGACAUUUGCUUAAAAGGUGCAAUUGCAUCACUACCAGAUGGACCUGCGUUGUAUUAGCUAGUUGGUGAGGUAACGGCUCACCAAGGCAACGAUACAUAGCCGACCUGAGAGGGUGAUCGGCCACACUGGGACUGAGACACGGCCCAGACUCCUACGGGAGGCAGCAGUAGGGAAUCUUCGGCAAUGGGGGGAACCCUGACCGAGCAACGCCGCGUGAGUGAAGAAGGUUUUCGGAUCGUAAAGCUCUGUUGUAAGAGAAGAACGAGUGUGAGAGUGGAAAGUUCACACUGUGA